rnacentral:rRNA from 1 species
UCUAGAACCGAUAACCCCCGUUCAACCUCACCCUCUCUUGUUUUUCCCGCCUAUAUACCGCCGUCGUCAGCUUACCCUGUGAAGGUUUAAUAGUAAGCAAAAUUGGCAUAGCCCAA